rnacentral:rRNA from 1 species
GAAAUGCGAUACGUAGUGUGAAUUGCAGAAUUCCGUGAACCAUCGAAUCUUUGAACGCAAAUUGCGCUCGAGGCUUCGGCCAAGAGCAUGUCUGCCUCAGCGUCGGCUACUACCCUCAACUAAGUUUCCUAUGAAAGACUAGGGGAUGCCAGUUGGAUAUGGCCGUCCGGUUUGCCUUUCAGGCUGCCGGUCAGCUGAAAUUCAUUCACGCUCUGGGGGCUGCUUUCCUUGAAAGGCUGUUUUCAAUGGGAGGCGAGUUCCGAUUUGGUAGGUGACCUUUGCCGGUUACAUGCCUUCGUUGCUCGCUAAGCUUCCCAGUAGUCGUUGUGCAGGACGCCUUUUGGCUUUCGACCUGAGGUCAGGCA